AGUGAACGCUGGCGGAAGGCCUAACACAUGCAAGUCGAACGGCAGCACAGAGGAGCUUGCUCCUUGGGUGGCGAGUGGCGGACGAGUGAGGAAUAUAUCGGGAAUCUACUUUUUCGUGGGGGAUAACGUAGGGAAACUUACGCUAAUACCGCAUACGACCUACGGGUGAAAGCAGGGGACCUUCGGGCCUUGCGCGAUUG
rnacentral:rRNA from 1 species